rnacentral:misc_RNA from 1 species
GAAACUUGAAUGCAUAAACAAUUUAAUUUAUUAAGAUUACCAAGUGCCAACGCAUUGGAAACACAUCCAACUGCCAAAUACUUCAAUUUUUUUAUGGUGAUUAGAGGAAGAGGUGGGAGAUGCCCAGAGAAUGAAUAACAAACUUUCUCAAAGUUACCUCAAAGUAAGUUAGCAAUCACAAUUUGCACAUUGAAACACUAUUGCAACUCAUCAUGGCAUUUUGAACAGUGAACUAAUUUGAUGGUUUCAAACAACAACAGCAACUAAACAUUAUUUUGUUUUGAAAAAAAAAAUAUUAUAACUUUUUUGCAAAUCAAUUCAACCUUUA